CCUACGGGGGGCAGCAGUGGGGAAUAUUGGACAAUGGGCGAAAGCCUGAUCCAGCCAUGCCGCGUGUGUGAAGAAGGUCUUCGGAUUGUAAAGCACUUUAAGUUGGGAGGAAGGGCAGUUACCUAAUACGUGAUUGUCUUGACGUUACCGACAGAAUAAGCACCGGCUAACUCUGUGCCAGCAGCCGCGGUAAUACAGAGGGUGCAAGCGUUAAUCGGAAUUACUGGGCGUAAAGCGCGCGUAGGUGGUUUGUUAAGUUGAAUGUGAAAUCCCCGGGCUC
rnacentral:rRNA from 1 species